rnacentral:rRNA from 1 species
UACGGGGGGGGCAAGCGUUGUUCGGAAUUACUGGGCGUAAAGGGCUGGUAGGCGGCCAACUAAGUCGGAUGUGAAAUCCCCAGGCUUAACCUGGGAACUGCAUCCGAUACUGGUUGGCUUGAAUCCGGGAGAGGGAUGCAGAAUUCCAGGUGUAGCGGUGAAAUGCGCAGAUAUCAGGAGGAACACCGAUGGCGAAGGCAGGUCUCUGGGCCACUACUGACGCUGAGAAGCGAAAGCAUGGGGAGCGAACAGG